rnacentral:tRNA from 1 species
GGGUCUCUAGCUCUGUGGUAGAGCAGCUGACUGCAGAUCAGCAGGUCUCCGAUUCAAACCCGGAGGGGCCCU